rnacentral:rRNA from 1 species
UACGUAAGGGGCUGGUGAUGUUCGGCGUUACUGGGCGGAAAGAGCACGUCGACGGCUUACCAAGUUGGGGGUGAAAUCCCGGAGCUCCACUCCGGAACUGCCUUCAAAACUGGUAGGCUCGAGUCCGGAAGAGGGGCGUGGAAUUCCCAGUGUAGAGGUGAAAUUCGUAGAUACUGGGAAGAACACCGGUGGCGACGGCGGCGCCCUGGUCCGGUACUGACGCUGAGGCGCUAAAGCGUGGGGAGCAAACAGG